rnacentral:rRNA from 1 species
CCUACGGGAGGCAGCAGUGGGGAAUAUUGCACAAUGGGCGCAAGCCUGAUGCAGCCAUGUCGCGUGUGUGAAGAAGGCCUUCGGGUUGUAAAGCACUUUCAGCGGGGAGGAAGGCGGUGAGGUUAAUAACCUCAUCGAUUGACGUUACCCGCAGAAGAAGCACCGGCUAACUCCGUGCCAGCAGCCGCGGUAAUACGGAGGGUGCAAGCGUUAAUCGGAAUUACUGGGCGUAAAGCGCACGCAGGCGGUCUGUCAAGUCGGAUGUGAAAUCCCCGGGCUCAACCUGGGAACUGCAUUCGAAACUGGCAGGCUAGAGUCUUGUAGAGGGGGGUAGAAUUCCAGGUGUAGCGGUGAAAUGCGUAGAGAUCUGGAGGAAUACCGGUGGCGAAGGCGGCCCCCUGGACAAAGACUGACGCUCAGGUGCGAAAGCGUGGGGAGCAAACAGGAUUAGAUACCCUUGUAGUC